UACGAAGGGGGGCUAGCGUUGCUCGGAAUCACUGGGCGUAAAGGGUGCGUAGGCGGGUCUUUUAAGUCAGGGGUGAAAUCCUGGAGCUCAACUCCAGAACUGCCUUUGAUACUGAGGAUCUUGAGUCCGGAAGAGGUAAGUGGAACUGCGAGUGUAGAGGUGAAAUUCGUAGAUAUUCGCAAGAACACCAGUGGCGAAGGCGGCUCACUGGCCCGAUACUGACGCUGAGGCACGAAAGCGUGGGUAGCAAACAGG
rnacentral:rRNA from 1 species